CCUACGGGCGGCAGCAGUGGGGAAUAUUGGGCAAUGGGCGCAAGCCUGACCCAGCAACGCCGCGUGAAGGAAGAAGGCUCUCGGGUUGUAAACUUCUUUUCUCAGGGACGAAGAAAGUGACGGUACCUGAGGAUUAAGCCACGGCUAACUACGUGCCAGCAGCCGCGGUAGUACGGAGGUGGCAAGCGUUAUCCGGAUUUAUUGGGUGUAAAGGGCGUGUAGGCGGGAGCGCAAGUCAGAUGUGAAAACUCAGGGCUCAACCCUGAGCCUGCAUUUGAUACUGUGUUUCUUGAGUGCUGGGGAGGCAAGCGGAAUUCGGGGUGUAGCGGUGAAAUGCGUAGAUAUACGGAAGAACACCAAUUGCGAAGGCAGAUUACUAGACAGUAACUGACGCUGAGGCGCGAAAGCGUGGGGAGCAAACAGGAUUAGAUACCCGUGUAGUC
rnacentral:rRNA from 1 species